GGGCACUCCAGUGAUGUUGCAGCUCUGAAAUAUGGCCAAACUGGUGGCAUGUGGCAUCGUGGCAGCUGCACGCUUGACUUUUCUCAGUUCAUGGGCAGUUAUUUUGCGCCUUGGUUUUUCCACACGCUUCUUGCGACCCUGUUGACUAUUUUGAAUGAAACGCUUGAUUGUUCGAUGAUCACGCUUCAGAAGCUUUGCAAUUUUAAGAGUGCUGCAUCCCUCUGCAAGAUAUCUCACUAUUUUUGACUUUUCU